GCGCCUGUAGCUCAGUUGGAUAGAGCGUCGGACUCCGGAUCCGAAGGCCAGAGGUUCGAAUCCUCUCAGGCGUA
rfam:Candidatus Rokubacteria bacterium RIFCSPLOWO2_12_FTLL_69_21 rifcsplowo2_12_scaffold_69289, whole genome shotgun sequence.